rnacentral:rRNA from 1 species
CAGCAGCCGCGGUAAGACAGAGGAUGCAAGCGUUAUCCGGAAUGAUUGGGCGUAAAGUGUCUAUAGGUGGCUUUUCAAGUCCGCCGUCAAAUCCCAGGGCUCAACCGUGGACAGGCGGUGGAAACUACCAAGCUGGAGUACGGUAGGGGCGGAGGGAAUUUCCGAUGGAGCGGUGAAAUGCGUUGAGAUCGGAAAGAACACCAACGGAGAAAGCACUCUGCCGGGCCGACACUGACACUGAGAGACGAAAUCUAGGGGAGCAAAUGGGAUUAGAGACCCCGGUAGUCCCUGUCUCUUAUAC